ACUUCAUAAAUUUGUAUUUGAAUACAUCAUGUGCGAGGAACAAGCAUUUACUGCUCUUCCUGAAGGUAAAUAGCUUACUAUCCAAACGGUGGAAACACAAACAGAAAAGGACUUGGUUUAGUAAUUUCAUUCUCCAGAAGGCCUCUGCAACAGAAGUAAUAUCAGAGUGCAGUGAGGAUUGUGCAACUCAACUACUGUGUUUCAGGGAUCCGUAACCUUCUUUGCUGUAAGCUUCUUGGAAAGAAUCAACUACCUCUGGCAAAUCCCUACCUCCUAUUAACAGAUGGUUUGAAAAGAAGAUUUCCACUGUAGAAGACUACUGUAUCAAAGCAGCAGUUGGAAGAAUAAAAGACAAGAAGGUACAGAAUGGAGCAAGUGCAUGAGACCUGGUCCUCUUCACAAGUACAAGGUACAU